rnacentral:pre_miRNA from 1 species
UCUUAAGAAUGAGCAAAGGAAAUGGCUUCUUCAGAAGGAAACUACUCCUGGUGAAGGUGUUGUGAA